ACGGCAGAAGACCUCUUCUAAUGACCAGUCCUUAAAGAUUAAUGGGACUAGCUGAUUUUCUGAAUUCGCUAAGGAAAAACACUACUCAAGCUAUGACAGACACUAUGGAAAUGUUUUAAUUAUCUGUUGUCUUUAAUUGUUGGUAUAGUUGUUCUUACAUGACACUUUGUUCGUCGUCAUCUUCACAGGUCACCUUGGAGUAUGCCUUGCAGCAAAAGAAUCAGGAAGGCAGAGCGUUAUUGGCGCGUGUCCUGUUCUGAUCUUACUGAGAAGGAAAAAGCAUGUUUUGGAAUCAUAUGCCAGUGCUCUGGCAGAAAUACAGAUGUGGUGAUUUAUUCCAUCGACCAAGUCCUGAUGUGAAGAAUUCUCUCUAAUGGCAAAUGAGAUAUUGAAUCUAUUUAAUUUCAACUCACAGAGCUAGGUAUUCCUGAAAUGAGACUUCCUAGCUGUUCAUCAGCCUUUAUCUGCAAAACUGUUUUAAAAUUCCAAAAAUCAUAAAGUACCUGGUCUGGGGACUUUGGUACAGACUCGGCCAUUUCCAAAAAACCCUGCUGGACAUCGGCCACAGAAGUAUCCAAGGAGAAUUCUUUGCCUCUAAGGGUUGCACAGGCCAUUCGACCUCAGUUGUGUUCAAAUCACCUUUGCCAUUGUUAUUGUCAAUGAUGGACUCUUCUGUAAUGUCAGCAGCAAGCACAGCUGUAAGAAGACAGUACGGAGACAAGGAAACAAGGUAUUAAGAGCUUAGCUGUGAUUGAUGAUAAAAAGCAAUGGUAACAGCAAAUCAGAUAACCUGACAUAAGUUUAUUCCAGAAGCCAGCCAUCAAACAAACACAGGCAAAUCAGAUGAGUCAGCUGCUGAAAUGCAGGAAAGCUUUGACACAAAUACAGACAAAAUUGUUUUGCCCAAAUUCACUAAGCUUAAGUCAUCCAAGAGACAUACUUAAUAUGCAUGGUGAUCUUUUAUUGAGCUAAGGGUGGGCAGUGUGGUUACUUGCACAAAGAUGCUACACUGCACACUGGGACCUGUGGUCUGUAUGAUUCCUACUUCACUUUGAAAGCUUCCCUCUGAAAACUACAUUGUACUUGUUUGUUGGCUUUGGUUAGCUCAGCUGUCAACUUUGUACACUCCAAAAUACAUGUACUAAAUAUAUGUGGAAGUAAAGGGGAAAAUUGUUUGUUGAUGUUAAAAAAUAUUAAUUCCUGCCUAAAUUUAAGACAAUUUCUCAAGAGAUUUAGGGAUUGUAAACUCUACAUGGAUAUAUGUUG